ensembl:piRNA 21ur-15307 ncRNA
UAGUUAAUAGAGGAUUUUUGA